CCUACGGGAGGCAGCAGUAGGGAAUAUUGCUCAAUGGGGGAAACCCUGAAGCAGCAACGCCGCGUGGAGGAUGAAGGUUUUCGGAUUGUAAACUCCUUUUGUUAGAGAAGAUAAUGACGGUAUCUAACGAAUAAGCCCCGGCUAACUACGUGCCAGCAGCCGCGGUAAUACGGCGGGUGCCAGCGUUACUCGGAAUCACUGGGCGUAAAGCGCGCGUAGGCGGGAUAGCAAGUCAGAUGUGAAAUCCUAGGGCCUAACCAUAGAACUGCAUUUGAAACUGUUAGUCUCGAGUAUGGGAGAGGUAGGUGGAAUACUUGGUGUAGCGGUAAAAUCCGUAGAGAUCAAGAGGAAUACUCAUUGCGAAGGCGACCUGCUAGAACAUAACGGACGCUGAUGCGCGAAAGCGUGGGGAGCAAACAGGAUUAGAUACCCGAGUAGUC
rnacentral:rRNA from 1 species